rnacentral:rRNA from 1 species
UAGGGAAUCUUCGGCAAUGGGGGGAACCCUGACCGAGCAACGCCGCGUGAGUGAAGAAGGUUUUCGGAUCGUAAAGCUCUGUUGUUAAGGAAGAACGAGUGUGAGAAUGGAAAGUUCAUACUGUGACGGUAGUUAACCAGAAAGGGACGGCUAACUACGUGCCAGCAGCCGCGGUAAUACGUAGGUCCCGAGCGUUGUCCGGAUUUAUUGGGCGUAAAGCGAGCGCAGGCGGUUAGAUAAGUCUGAAGUUAAAGGCAGUGGCUCAACCAUUGUAGGCUUUGGAAACUGUUUAACUUGAGUGCAGAAGGGGAGAGGGGAAUUCCAUGUGUAGCGGUGAAAUGCGUAGAUAUAUGGAGGAACACCGGUGGCGAAAGCGGCUCUCUGGUCUGUUACUGACGCUGAGGCUCGAAAGCGUGGGGAGCGAACAGG